rnacentral:sRNA from 1 species
UAAUUUCCACAUAAUGUUUUUUCAUGAAUAAAUAUUUUAUUUGACACGUGUCAAAAUCUAAAAUUGAUAAAACUGUCACGUGUCAUAAUCUCGUGAGUUACUAACUUUUGAAACCGUACUUUAUAUAACAAGAUGAAAGAGAUCCAAGUUUCCUAAACUUAGAUAAAACCAAAUAUAAAUAAUAUAUUUAGAGAUAAUGUUAAAUUUCCUAAACUUUUAAUAUUAACAUCCAUCUUCUAGAAUAAUAUAUUCUUAUC